UCCCUCGUAGCUCAGUUGGUGAGAGCGGCGGACUGUUAAGCCGUAGGUCACUGGUUCGAGUCCAGUCUGGGGAGCCA
rnacentral:tRNA from 1 species